UACGUAGGGGGCAAGCGUUGUCCGGAAUCAUUGGGCGUAAGCGCGUGUAGGCGGUUCGAUAAGUCUGCUGUGAAAGUCCAGGGCUCAACCCUGGAAAGCCGGUGGAUACUGCAGGACUAGAGUCCGGAAGAGGCGAGUGGAAUUCCUGGUGUAGCGGUGAAAUGCGCAGAUAUCAGGAGGAACACCGAUGGCGAAGGCAGUUCUCUGGGCCGUAACUGACGCUGGAGGAGCGGAAAUGCAUGGGGAGCGAACAGG
rnacentral:rRNA from 1 species